UUUCCGUAGGUGAACCUGCGGAAGGAUCAUUCAUAUUAAAGUGUUUUAUGGCACUUUUUAAAAAUCCAUAUCCACCUUGUGUGCAAUGUUAGAUCUCGUCAAUCUUGGCGAGAUUUUUAUACAUCAACUCAUUCUUUAACUAAUUUGUCUGAAAAAUAUUAUAAAUACUUAAUUCAAAAUACAACUUUCAACAACGGAUCUCUUGGCUCUC
rnacentral:misc_RNA from 1 species